GCCAAGACUGUGCAAAACCAGGGAGGACUGACCUGCAUGUGGGAGUUCCAGCAUUUUUAAGGAGUCAACCUCCUUCUGUUAGAGUGGACCCAUUUUACCUUCCAGGCACCAGAGAGCACAGAAUUGAGAGACUAUAUUUCCAUCAGUCCUGGAACCUCUAAGGUGGGGCUCACUUUCCUGCAUGCUUCUCUCAAUUUAUACCAAAUGAUAUUCCAUCCGCCGAUCCCAACCUAAUCAACGCAAGGAGUACCACCUCAGCAUGCUUCACUUCAGACUGAGUUCAGAGACAUCAGGCAUGGAUUGUCAGCCCUUCAGCCUCAUUACUCAGAUGCUAGCAUGACACCCACCAGACUUCCCUGGACAGACAACCUCACCAAUGUGUCCUGGAGCUCCGAUUCCCCAGAGCCCUUCCUCACUAGGGAAAGAGAAAGAUAGGCUGGGAGUAUGGAUCGAGCUGUCAAUGCCCAUGUUCAUCGGGGAAGCAAUUACAGAAACCAGACCUUCAACCUUCUGCAUCCCACAAUGACCUUGGGUCCAUACUCCCAGAGGGUUAAAGAAUAGGAAAGCUAUCAGGAGAGGGAAUGGGAUACAGAGUUCUGGUGGUGGGA